AUGUUCUUUGCCCUGCUGGCCAUUGCAGCGACGCUGCAGCCCUCCGGCGCGAUGCUCCGGUCCGCCGCAGCAAACCAAGAAGAAGCCAAAGCCACCACCACGGCCGAUGGAGACGCCCCGUCUCUUCCGAACCUGCCAUUGCCUCAGAUUCCCGGCAUGCCUAGCCUACCACCGCUAUUCCGCUUCCUUUUCCCGCCACUCCUAGCCCAACCAUUGCCGCCCUUGACACCUCCUGCCACGUCUCCAUGA
rnacentral:rRNA from 1 species